ACUGUGAUGGGUAGGGGUUCUGAGAGGAUUAUCCCCCACACUGGUACUGAGACACGGACCAGACUCCUACGGGAGGCAGCAGUAAGGAAUAUUGGGCAAUGGACGCAAGUCUGACCCAGCCAUGCCGCGUGCAGGAUGACGGCCUUAUGGGUUGUAAACUGCUUUUGUAUGGGAUUAAAGUGUUGUACGUGUACGACAUUGCAAGUACCAUACGAAUAAGCAUCGGCUAACUCCGUGCCAGCAGCCGCGGUAAUACGGAGGAUGCAAGCGUUAUCCGGAAUCAUUGGGUUUAAAGGGUGCGUAGGUUGAUUAUUAAGUCAGUGGUGAAAAUUCCGGGCUCAACCCGGGACUUGCCGUUGAAACUGAUAAUCUUGAGUGUAACUGAUGUGGGCGGAAUGUGUCAAGUAGCGGUGAAAUGCAUAGAUAUGACACAGAACACCGAUAGCGAAGGCAGCUCACAAAAUUACAACUGACACUGAGGCACGAAAGCGUGGGUAUCAAACAGGAUUAGAUACCCUGGUAGUCCACGCUGUAAACGAUGAUCACUAGCUGUUUGCGAUACAUUGUAAGUGGUUAAGCGAAAGCGAUAAGUGAUCCACCUGGGGAGUACGUCGGCAACGAUGAAACUCAAAGGAAUUGACGGGGGCCCGCACAAGCGGAGGAGCAUGUGGUUUAAUUCGAUGAUACGCGAGGAACCUUACCUGGGCUUGAACGUAUGGUGCAUGAGUGUGAAAGCACUCUUUCCUUCACAGGACUUCAUACGAGGUGCUGCAUGGUUGUCGUCAGCUCGUGCCGUGAGGUGUUAGGUUAAGUCCUGCAACGAGCGCAACCCCUGUUUUUAGUUGCCAUCAGGUUAUGCUGGGCACUCUAGAAAGACUGCCUGCGCAAGCAGAGAGGAAGGUGGGGAUGACGUCAAAUCAGCACGGCCCUUACGUCCAGGGCUACACACGUGCUACAAUGGUCGGCACAGAGGGUUGCUACCCGGCAACGGGAUGCUAAUCUCCAAAGUCGAUCUUAGUUCGGAUCGAAGUCUGCAACUCGACUUCGUGAAGUUGGAUUCGCUAGUAAUCGUAUAUCAGCCAUGAUACGGUGAAUACGUUCCCGGGCCUUGUACACACCGCCCGUCAAGCCAUGGAAGUUGGGGGUACCUGAAGUCGAUUACCGAAAGG
rnacentral:rRNA from 1 species